UACAGAGGGUGCAAGCGUUGUUCGGAAUUAUUGGGCGUAAAGGGCGCGUAGGCGGUGCGGUAAGUCUGUAGUGAAAUCUCUGGGCUCAACUCAUAGUCUGCUGCAGAAACUGCCGUGCUUGAGUGUGGGAGAGGUGAGUGGAAUUCCCGGUGUAGCGGUGAAAUGCGUAGAGAUCGGGAGGAACACCAGAGGCGAAAGCGGCGACCUGGACAGGUACUGACACUCAACUACGAAAGCGUGGGGAGCAAACAGG
rnacentral:rRNA from 1 species